rnacentral:rRNA from 1 species
UGUCAUUCUAGAUACACUUUCCAGUACAUCUACUAUGUUACGACUUAUCUUACCUUAAUAAUAAGAGCGACGGGCGAUGUGUACAUAUUUUAGAGCUAAAAUCAAAUUAUUAAUCUUUAUAAUUUUACUACCAAAUCCACCUUCAAAAAUUUUUUCAUAAUUUUAUCCGUUUAAAUAAAUUUAUUGUAACCCAUUAUUACUUAAAUAUAAGCUACACCUUGAUCUGAUAUAAAUUUUAAUAAAAAUUAUUGAAUAUUAAUAUUCUUAUAAAAUAUUCUGAUAACGACGGUAUAUAAACUGAUUACAAACUUAAGUAAGGUCCAUCGUGGAUUAUCGAUUACAAAACAGGUUCCUCUGGAUAGACUAAAAUACCGCCAAAUUUUUUAAGUUUCAAGAACUUAACUAUUACUACUUAAGUAUUUAUAUUUACAUUUUAAAUAAUAGGGUAUCUAAUCC